CGUAGGAGGCAAGCGUUAUCCGGAGUUACUGGGCGUAAAGCGCGUGUAGGCGGCUCGGUAAGUGGGUCGUGAAAGCACCCGGCUAAACUGGGUGAGGACGAUCGAGACUGCCGAGCUUGAGGGUGGUAGAGGGACAGGGAAUUCCGGGUGUAGCGGUGAAAUGUGUAGGGAUCCGGAGGAACACCAGUGGCGAAGGCGCUGUCCUGGGCCACCUCUGACGCUGAUACGCGAAGGCGUGGGGAGCGAACGGGAUUAGAGACCCCGGUAGUCCACGCGGUAAACGAUGCAGACUGGGUGUUCACUUUCCUAACGGGAAGGGAGUGCCGAAGCAAACGCGGUAAGUCUGCCGCCUGGGGAGUACGGUCGCAAGGCUA
rnacentral:rRNA from 1 species